rnacentral:lncRNA from 1 species
CCUUAGUCUUCCCCAAGACCAUCCAGUGGCAUCAAGGAAGUGCCUACAAGUGGGUGGGUAUAAGUUCUCCAUGUCACUGAGGUUCCCAGUAAUUCUACAUUCUCAUGCUAGUCCCAGCUCAACCUUAGGCAAAUUAAAAUUUUUAGCUAAAUUCUUCAAUUUUGUGGAAUAUAUAAUGUCAACUAUCUACCCCAGGUCAGAAAAUGCUCCCAUCUGCUCUUUCCUUGGAUAUAUUUUCCCCUAGACAUUUGAUUACCCUAGAUGCUUGUACCACAGCCUCAGCUGUCUGAUGGGCUCAGAAAAAGCUGUGAGUUUUGCAGAUUAUCUGACUUUCUACACCCUAAGCAGAGUUUAAUAUAUUAAUUGUUUAAUUGUAUUUCUCAAGUUAUUGAAAUUGAAAAUGUUUUCAUGUUUACAAGCUUCUCACAUUUGUCCUCCUGAAAAUUUGGUUAUUUACACACUGAGUUCAUAUUGACUUAUACAACUACAUAUAGUGAAAAUUUCCCAUUAAUAAUUUUAUUCAUUCAACAGGCAUUUGCCAAACAACUGCAACAUCCCCCGAUAUCUAUGUAGAAAAGAAUUCCACAUGUAUCCAAAACCAAACCAGGAGUUUAAUAAAUGAGAAAUUUACUUGUAUUGUGGUGACAGGUUGAUGUUUUGGAGUUAUUUCUCCAUCAGUUAUCCAAUCCUGACUAAUUUGCUGGUGGUGAGUGGGGAGAGAAGUCUGUGAACUGUUACUAUCAUGCAACAAAGAAUCUGGUUGAAGAGGUGAUAUCAGGGAUUCGUCCGUUAAGAGUUGCUCAGAUGAGCUGACUUCAUUUGGUGGUUUUUGGUUCACCUUUUUUGGCUUUAGUAACCUGGAUUGGGGGAAGGAAAAAAAAAAAAUAUAUAUAUAUAUAUAUAUAUAUAUGGAGGGAGAGAGAGAGGAGAGAUGCAGCUGACCUGUUACCCCUCCUCUGCUUACAAUGAUCAUGUCAUUGUGAAAUGUACCUUUCUUCUAAUAUUAUCUCUUUCCUUUGCCCCAAGUACAUUAGGGAUCACUCUUGCGAAGCACAUGUACUCAAAAUAUACCUUCUACUUAAGAAGGGCCCGUGUGAAGAAUUCUCAUGUCUCCACCAGGACUCUUAACCAAGAGAGACACCGGUCAGUAGCCACACUGCUUUGGGAUCAGCCUAUAAGAAAUCCAAAACAUACAAGAUUGCACCGCCUAAGUUAUUCCACAUUUUAAAUGAACAAGGCUGGUGGCUGGUAUGGACUGGAGAAACUCAACUUACAUCUUUGGAGCUCAUAAGUGAAAACCAAAACUAAUAGCACCAUUUUCAAAAUAAGGAAUAUACCUAAAUACUGAAUGAUAUAUCUGCCCAAAUGUCCCAGUCCUACAGAUGAAAGCCCUGCAGAAACUAAUUUGGUUGAGUACCACAAUAUGAUAGAGUCAACUCAGUAUGCUUCCCACUUGUCUAUAUAAAACUAAUCUUCCUAUAACAUUCUUAUAUAAUCACAUAAUCUCAUUUUAAUCAUUCUGUGUAUAUGAGGAAAUUAAGACAGCUAUUUCUCUGAAAUUUUGUUUUUGUCUCAUUAAUGUAAAACUUAAAAUUUACUCCAUAACAUCUGUUAAACUAAAGUGUUUUAAAGUAUUUGCCAGGCUGGGGAUAGCUCAGUAGUAGAGGGCUUACCUGGCAUGCUCAAAGACUUGAGUUCAACCACCAACAAAAAAUAAAAUAUAAAAAACAGUAAGCAUGUGUUACAGGGCAAAAUUUAAUGCAUUCAGAACUAUUCGGUGGCUUCAUAAUCCCAAAAGUACACACUGUAGUUUGAGAAGCAUGGCACAGUACCACACAUUACAGCCUAUCACUGGAUAGCAUUUCACAUGGUACAAAGAAAGUGCUCUUGCAUGGGGCCUGGGACAUGAAAAGGAGAGAAAACAAUUAGGCAGCAAAUUUAUCUCUGACACGGGAACUUUCCUACCCCCGGGCAUAUGUACCUAGCAUGAUGUGCUGAAAAAUGUCAGUUUCCAUUUAUUUUAUUAUAAUCUCCCAGUUGGUACAGGUUAAAUUAGGGAUUCGGGAUGGAAUGGAUGACUUACCUGAGGCACACAGCUGGUAAAAGCAGUAAAGAAAGCCUAAAUUCAAUUCUUCUGAACCAAGCCCUUUGAGCCUUCUUUUGCCAACUGCCUUAGUGUUCAGAAAAAUGUGCAAUGACACCUUUAAAAAAAAAAAAGGAGUUGUUAUUGGUUACUGUUGUUAUUGAUUUGGAAAGUACCCAUUUCCUAAAUAGCUAACCUUCUUUAUAAUUCCAAUAAUAAUAUUAUAUCUGGCAAUUACUUCAUUUGCCAAAAGUAUUGAUUUAUCUUCACCUAGAAUAUACCACAGCUUAUUCUCUCAACCUACAGAUUUCCGUUUCCUUCCAAAUUCAACCUUUCUUUUGCAUAUUUUAUAAAAUAGUACAUG